rnacentral:rRNA from 1 species
AUACGUAGGGUGCGAGCGUUAUCCGGAAUCAUUGGGCGUAAAGAGCUCGUAGGCGGUUCAGCAAGUCGGCUGUGAAAGUUCGAGGCUCAACCUCGAAAUUGCAGUCGAUACUGCUGUGACUCGAGUCCGGUAGAGGAGAAUGGAAUUCUCGGUGUAGCGGUGAAAUGCGCAGAUAUCGAGAGGAACACCAGUAGCGAAGGCGGUUCUCUGGGCCGGCACUGACGCUGAGGAGCGAAAGCGUGGGGAGCAAACAGAAUUAGAAACCCCAGUAGUCC